UAAUAGUUUUAUUUUUAUUAUGACAUCUACAAUACAUUCAUCCUUAACAUAUGAUAAUUAUUAUGUAUUUCCAUUCCAAAAUUUGAUAGAUACAUUGACAGGGAUUAAAUUAUUUAUAACAUCUUCUUUAUUCAACCAAAAAUGCAGCAUAUGAUUGUUUCUGGAAUUUUCAUACUCUAUUUGCAUCGUUGUAUAAACUAUACAGUUAAAUGAUUUAAGAGGCAACUUUAUCCAUUUAGAAUGGAAUUCUACACCAUCUGUAAUAUUGCAAAACAGUGAUUACACCUGCACAGAAAUACACAUUGGUAAGGCAACUACAAUCAAGUGUUGCAUCAUAUUCCCCCAACAUUUUAUGCAUCCAGGUUACAUGUUUCAACUGUGGUUUUCCCAGCAGUGAGAUCAUUUAAAGAAAGUUAUAUUUGCACCACAUAGAGUUUUGAAAUAUUAGAUAUGAAACAAUAAUAUUUUCCAUUUUAUGUACAAAAUUAUCCAAAUGUAUUGCAGGGUAAUAUACGUUUUAUUUUCAGUAGCAAGAUCUUCACUUAUAACUUGUUAUAAUGAUCGUUACCACGUUUGCAUUUGUUUUCUUUAAAGAAAGACUAUCAACAAUACACUUCCUCUUCUAUGUAUAAAAGAAUUAAUUUCCCACAAUUAUUUUGGAAAAGGAGAGUGUUAAAGGGGGAGAUUAAAACUUGGCUAAAGCCAGGUAAUGUACGCCACCAGUUUGUGGUAGCUUCCCCCAUCACAUCUCAAUUUUAGAGCCUGCCUGUGUAUUCUCAAAUAUCCAUAUUGUCUCCAUUUACUUCAGUUAGUUACACACGUGGGCCCCAAUCUUAUGUAUGUGAGUAGUCCCACUGACUUCCAGUUACAAAUGUGUGUAUGCAAAAUUGGAGAUAGGAGCACAUGCAGAAUCAAAUUUUUCAGACUGCCAGUACAGCUAAAUUAUAUGGUAGUCAUGUAAUGUAAACAAAUGUCCACCUGGAAUUCAAAUCUCUAGGGCCUCCCAUAGGAAACCUAGUUUUUGCUUAAUAAAGAAUAAAGGAUUAGGAUCUAGAUUAAAUUAACAGUAUAUAUAAAUAAUACACAAGAUGACACGUGAGCACACAGCAAUAAUUUCAAGGCAGUGCAUACGGUUUUAAUUUUCCAUUCUGUACUUCUUACUGUGGUGGAUUAACAAAAUGGGGUUUGAAGGGGAAAAGAGAAAUCAAUUAUUUCACAAGAGAAAGGCAAAGUGUAAGGGUUGCCAGUUUUGGCUUCAAUCUUGCAAUCAGAUCUGUUUAGGCAGACCCUUGUGUUUAUAUGACAGAUCCUAUUGCAAGAUCAAGGUAGUUUGUUAGUUUGUUUUUAUUUUUCAGCAUCUGAGUUGCUGUACCCAAUUCUGAAAAGGUUUUGGGCUUUUUGAGAUUGUUUUUUAAAUAUUCCAUAUGAAAGAUACUGUUAGGAUGUAAACUGUUUAUUCCUGGGGCAGGGAUGUCUUCUCUUAUGUUCUAUGCAUUACCAACCACAUACAAGUAAUAAUCGAAAUACUAAAAGAAAAAAGUUGAAAUUUAGAAGUGAUAUCAAUAGAUGGCCGGUAGAAAUUACUAGGAUAUAUUUGUUUAAUUGUAUCUUAUAAUUACAAAAAAUAAAAUGUCCUGAUACAGUCUAGAUGUGCACAUAGCUAUAAUGUGUGUAACUACCUGUUGCUAUCAUUUUUAUCUUCAUGAUCCCUCCAACAGUUCAUCCUAUUGUUUGUUACGCCCAUCUAUUGAAUCUUGACUUAAACUAGUUCCUAGGCUUGCCACAGUCACAUUUCCACUGACAGACUUUAACACCUGCAUUGGUCUAAUUGAAGAAUAGGAGCUUAUUUGUGUGCAGCACACAGCAAAAUGGGUCUUCAAUUCUCUAGGUGCUAAAGUAAGAUAAAUAAAUAAUAAAGUGCCCAAUCAGUAAGGAAUUAAAUACAAAAGAUAAUCACCUUUGAAAUAAUAGUCUUUUAGCUGGAAUGUUUAACAAUGCUCAUUUAAUAAACAUCAUUUACGUAAUGUAAUGUAGACCUGUUCAUAUAACCAAACUAAAACCAUACACCUUUACUUACUGUAUAAGAAAAUUAGCUUAUUUCCCGUCAAAUGCUGUCCCUUUACUGCAUUUAGAUAUUCUGUCCCAAUAUGUGAUUUUUAACACAAAUUUGACACAUUUCACUGCAAUUGCUGUUUCAAAAAGAGCAACAUCACGUACUUAGAUGGUAAACUCCUUGGACAGGGACUCUUUGUUAUGUGUUUUGUACAGCACCUAGCACAAUCCGGGGGCCUCCUCCGACUGAACUCCCGGGGUGCUGCAAGUACGCCACCGCACUCAGCCAGCGCCCCGCGCAUGCGCAGUCGGUCUACCGCUCGCUCUCUUGCGACACGCGCACGUGGGGCGCCUCUCUCUCUCGAUGCCGGUUGCAUCACCCGGCUUCGGGGUCCUUCCUGAGGCUGCCCGUCGCUCGCCUGCGCCACUGCCGCGCUCCCCUGGUGCCCCCACCGGAGCAGCGAAGACCAGAGCGGGACGAGACUGGGCCGGGUGCUUCCCGCAUAGCCCGCGGCGCCGGACUCGGAGCGGGCGGCGCCCUCCAGCCCGUGUAGCGCCGAGCUCAGGCGGCCGCGUAGGGCUCCUCACUUCCUCUUGGGCAAGAUGGCGGGGGACGAGGCGGGAUUGACUCUGGGGCAGCCGCACCUCUCCCGGCAGGACCUGGCCACCCUGUACAUGAAUUGCAGGACGUGCCUGAAUCCUGUGGCAGUCAGACCUUUUCAAAUGGAUUUUAUCUUGAUCUCGCUCCCUCAUGUCAGCUGUGAACAUAAUCCUGAAGUAAUCACUCUGGGUGGCAAGCAAUGCUUUAUGGGCCUGAAACGGGUGGUCUUCAAUGACAAGAGUGACGUCAAGAAGCAAUCCCUCCUCAUACAGUGCUCUGAACCCAGCAGAGACACUGGUAUCAUGGAUGGAGGAGCUAAACCCUUCCAAGUCCCCUGCCAUGAAUCACCUGAAAAAAAGGAAUCAAAGCAGAAAGUGUUAUUUCUAAGAGUUUAUAUAAUACAAGCUUUUCCAGACCAGAUGAACCUUAACAUUAAUAUCAACGUGUUAAAUGUCAAUGAAAAUAAAUUAUCUACGAUAAAAA